UAAGACGUAGGGCGCGAGCGUUGUCCGGAUUUAUUGGGCGUAAAGAGCUCGUAGGCGGCUUGUUGCGUCGACUGUGAAAACCCGCGGCUUAACUGCGGGCUUGCAGUUGAUACGGGCAGGCUAGAGUUCGGUAGGGGAGACUGGAAUUCCUGGUGUAGCGGUGAAAUGCGCAGAUAUCAGGAGGAACACCGGUGGCGAAGGCGGGUCUCUGGGCCGAUACUGACGCUGAGGAGCGAAAGCGUGGGGAGCGAACAGGA
rnacentral:rRNA from 1 species